rnacentral:lncRNA from 1 species
AAUCCGAUUCUGAAAAAUUGGAAUACCUCUGUUAUGUCAUUUAGGACUUGUGUGCAAAAUUUGAGGUCAAUCGGACGUGAUUUGAUAGGUUCCAGAGUUGUUUGUAGAAAUUAGAAAUUUCAAAGUUCAUUAGGUUUGAAUUGGGGUGUAAUUCAUGGUUUUAUCGUUGUUUGAGGUGAUUUGAUGAUUCGACUAAGUUCGUAUGAUGUUUUAGGACUUGUUGGUAUAUUUGGUUGAGGUCCCGAGCGCCUCGUGUGAGUUUCGGAUGGUUAACGGAUCAAAUAUUGAACUAGAACAGCUGCUGCAAUUUCCUUCUGUUGGAAAUUGCUUCUGCCCAGAAAUCGAGCCCAGAUCGAGCCCAGAGUCGAGGGCCACGAUCGAAGCCAUGAUCGAGCCCAGAGUCGAGGGCCACAAUCGAAGCCAUGAUCGAGCCCAGAGUCAAGGGCCACGAUCGAAGACAUAAUUGAGGGCAAGGAUCGAGAACCAGGAUCGAGGGGCAGGACCGAGGACCAGGAACGAGGAUCUCGAUCGAAGGCCAAGAUCGAGGGCCAAGAUCGAGGCAAAACCGAGGAUGUCUGGGCAGAAUUAUAAAAACAGGGACUUCGUCCCAUUUGUCAUUUUUGACAAAUUGGAGCUUGGGAAGAGGCGAUUUUUUGAUAUAUUUUUCAAGGAAAACUUGAGGUAAGUCCCUUGUGAUCAUUUCUACUCCAUAAUAUUGAAUUAUCAUCGAGUAAUCCGACUAGAUUACAUGAUUUUGAGGUGUACAUCAGAGAUUGAAACUUAGAAAUUUGGAAAUAAGAUUAGUAGAUUUGAGGGUCGAGUUGAGGUCGGAUUUUGGUAAAAUUGGUAUAGGUAGACUCGUGGUUGGAUGAGCUUUCGGAUUUUUUUAAGUUUUGUUGGGUUCCGAGAUGUGGGCCCCAUAGGCGAUUUUUUAGCCAAUUUCGUGUUUUGGUCUAAUUUUGAAGCUUUUCUUGUGAAAUUCAUUCCAUUAGCAUAUAUUGAUGGUAUUAUAUUGAUUAUGAACAGAUUUGGAGCAUUUGGAGGCAGAGUCUAGAGGCAAGAGCAUUGCGGGGUAGAGAUUUGACCGGUUUGAGGUAAGUAACGAUUGUAAAUCUAGUCCUGAGGGUGUGAAACCCCGGAUUUCGUAUCAUUCUACGAUUUUGAAGUGACGCACAUGCUAGGGUCGUGACAUCUUACCUCUAGGAUGAAGACCUAGUGAGCUUCCCUUCUUAAUCUUCCAAAACUUGAGCAAGAAUUGAAGAAUAAUUAUUGAAGAACACCUUCUCACUCUAGGGCACUCUCUCUCACUCUAAAAUAUAAUAUUAUGUCUCAAAAAUGGCCCAAAGAGUGUAUUUAAUGAAAUAGGGUCGGGUUUUAAAAACCCAAAAAUGGAGCUCCGGAACAAGGUAUGCGAUCGCAUAAACGAUAUGUGGUUGCAAAAUAGCCAAAAGAAUUGUCUGUGUAUGCGGUCACUAUGCGGUCCGCAUAACUGUUAUGUGAUCGCAUAAUGCACCGCAUAAUAUUUAUGCGGUCGCAUAGUCGACCGCAUAAUUGCUUCAAACUGACCCAAUUAACUGUCUCACUCUGCGGCCAUUAUGCGGUCCGCAGAAUGAUUCUGCGGGCGCAUAAUGGCCCGCAGAAAUGCACUAUUCCGCCAAAAAAAAUUUUUUACUUUCCUGUGCAUUGUUCAACCCAAAAAGUCCGAGCCGCGGCUUGCUUUUCUACAAUCCUCAAACACAUAAGCCUAGUCCGGCACCAUGAAACAUUAUUAUCUUUGCAAAUUAUACCGGGCUUUAUACUUAAGUUCUUUAAAAAUUUUCGGGGUGUUACAGAAUGGCCCUACCUCAUAUGCCACAGUUCAAAGGAUGCAUCAAACGUUGCCUUGUAAGCACGAGCCAAUGCCACUCCUUUGAUUCAAUAAAGCCCCUAAAGUUGUUUAGCCGCUCUAAUGAGCUUCCUUGUAUUUAGGUCCUGUAUAACACAAAUUUUAUCAAUGAAUUGAGCCACCAACUUCAAAUCGUGUAGAAAUUUUGAUACAUAAAUUAAGUUGCAAUUCAAAUUAAGUACAAAAAGGACGUGUUGCAAUUUUAAAUCUCUUUCAGGAGACACAACUCCUUCUUUGACCACUAAUAUUUUUACCAUUGGAUAAAUUGACUGUCCAUAAUUCUGUAUUAUGAACAUGUUUUAGGUAAGCAUAUGUUCUUGUAAUAUGGUAAGAAGCUCAACUAUCAAAUAAUCCAAAGACACAAAAAUUUUAUGACCUCAUUUCAUCAGCUAUUUUGGUGUAUGCUCAACAUCCCUAUCAACUUGUUCCACUAAAACCUUUAUCAGCAUAAGUUAUGGUUCCCUAUUCUCUUUCGCUUCUAGGUGCUUGGAAAAUAUUGGCACGUGCCUUUGCUCUUUGUCACGGCUUCCACCGGUCUCACUCUUGCAUCCUCCACACUUCCAAGUGUAUUGAGGCGAAGUUUCUUGUCCUGCCAUUCUGGAUAUCCUAUUAGUUAGAAACAAGACUCAGCAAUCAGCAUCAUGUUUUUCUCACUUGUAGUAUGAACAAACUACAUUAUCCCUUCCACCAUCCAUCCCCCCCCCCCCCCCGCGCCGAACUUCGAUCAUCAAUCUGCUCUACAAAGCCCAUGACUCCAUGAGGAUCUCUUUUUCUUCCUUAAUUCGACUCAUGGACAAUACAUGUUCUUGCUGAAUAAUUCUUGAGUAAACUUGAUUCAUAUUUAGCAAUGAUUUUGUAUUCAGUAUACUAGAAUGCGCUAUUCCAUACCCUUCAUCAUCUAGACUCGUCAAAAAUUGAUGAACCGUUUCUUCUUUAUCUUUCAGUUCCAGUUCUGCAGUUAAAUUGUAUUUGCUCCCACCAAAUCUACAUAUUGGAAUUUGAUCAUAGCGAGUUAGUUCAUCCCAAAUCAUCUUAAGUCGACCAUAAUAUGCAAUUAUGUCUGCUCACUUGCCUGCAAUUUGCAAGAUCUGAUUUCAACUAUUGCACUCUUGCACUAUUUCCAAUACAAUAGAGAGUCGCUGCUUAAUAUCCUCCCACAAGUCCUUUGCGUUCUCCAUAUGAGAUAUGGUCGAAUGAAGUUCGAGUUCAAUUAUGUUGAAAAUCUAGGAAAAAAGCAUUAACUUGACCGCAUGAUCUUUUUCCGAAUGUUUAACAAUUCCAUCUAUGAACUCAUAAUUCCUCUCGGCCCUGAGAUCAGUUUGAAUCGCUCGCUCCCAUUCAUUGUAGUUUUCUUCUCUCAACUGAAUUUGGAUAAUAAUAUUAACAGGGUUAUCAUUCAAUUUUAGUGUAUAGGAACUCGUAGUUUUCUUGUUAGAACUACAGGCUUCUUCUUCUUUAGGAGUUAUGGUUCUGGUACCAUGAAAAAAGCUAUAAAAAUAUUGGGGUUCCAAGUCUGCAUCUUUCAUUCAUAAUUAAAGGAUAUAUACAUACAAGAAGAUAUAGAGCGAUCCUAAAUAGAAUAUAAUACUUUAGGUGGAAAACUAUAGCGAUAAGAAUCCUGUACAAGGCAUAUUUUCCUAUACCAAUAAUACCAAAAACUAAAGAAAAAAUAAGAAAGGAAAAUAUUGCCUAAUACUUUCCGAAUAGGUGAAUAUGGGUAGAUCACCAACAAUGGCUGCAACUGAGAAAUCUCCCACGAGCAUUAAUAUUAUGUUUCCCUUCAAAUUUCCACACACAAUUAUACCUUGUCCCUUCUUUAAAACUUGAAAAGGAGAAUGAAUUCCAGAAUUGUCUUUGGCUAAGCCAAACGCUUGAAUAGCACAUUACCAGGAGUCCAAGACACCAUCAUCCAAGUAAAUCAAUAUUUGCUGUAAAAACCUGUGGGAAAGGAAUCUUGCAACCUGGAACAUAUGCUUCUCACCCUUCAUAUAUCUUUUUCACAUUUGGAAUAAGGGAUCAAUCAACUCCAUAUGAUGCAGAGAUACCAAUGGUCUAAUGGAAUGUGCAGCUAACAGAAGUAUAAAACUCCAACUGCAUUUACCUUUUUCUUUUAAAUAAGAUGGCGUUCGGGCAGCUCGCCCGUACAUCGACUAAUCUAUUAAACACGUGCUACUUUUCAUCCGUUUAUAUAACUUAACUCUAUAAAAAGAUUUAAGCGUAUGAUUAAAGUAUCUUAGAAUUUUUGUCUUUAUUGGAAUUGAAAACUGAUCUCUCAUGAUUCAGUCAACUUCUUUGACCGUUAUGUCAUGCACUCCCCAUACAUUUACAUUGAAAUCUAUAUGAUGGAAAUGAGACUCUUAUAUUAAGGCGACACCAAAUCCUUUACAUUAUCUUUUCUUAGUAGAAAUAAAUCUUCUAUCAUAAUUGGUAAAAAAUUAGUGGAAGCAAGUUGAUGGAAAGAAUAUUAGAGACAGGGUUUUGAGGCAUGGUUGAACCACUUUCUUUAGAAAGAUAUUUGCCUUCACACACACACAUAUAUAUAUAUAUAUAUACACACACAUAUAUAUAUAUAUAUAUAUAUAUAUAUAUAUAUAUAUAUAUAUAUAUAUAUAUAUAUAUAUAUAUAUAUAUANNNNNNNNNNNNNNNNNNNNNNNNNNNNNNNNNNNNNNNNNNNNNNNNNNNNNNNNNNNNNNNNNNNNNNNNNNNNNNNNNNNNNNNNNNNNNNNNNNNNNNNNNNNNNNNNNNNNNNNNNNNNNNNNNNNNNNNGGUAAGGAUAAGGUCUCCAUACAUAUUAUCCUCCGAUUAUAUUGGUGGUGGUGUUGUUUAUUUUUAUAUUUAAAAAUUAUUUAAUAUUUAAUUAUAAAAUCCCGUUCUACUUUUAUGUACUUACGUAACUUGUUGAGAACUCACUUGAUAUCUAUAAAAUCAGUACAUAUAAAAGUUACUAGUAGUUUUUUAUUAGGAGAGUGAAAUAGGAAUUUUCAUUUAAUGCUCUUAAGACUUUCCAUUUUCUCUAAUUAAUAUUUACAGUAAGAAUUAUAUCAGUAACUUGCAUACCUUUUUAUUUUAUUUUUUAUACUUCAUAUUUAAUCUAGGCAGAAUAGUCUAUUAGACACUUGUACUUGUUCCGGCUUGUCUCCGAUCCCUAUAAUCUAUAAAGUUACAUCCAGACACUUUAACUUGAUCAAAGCCUAUAUUUUAAACCCCUCUGACCGUUGACCAAGCACAUGUGGUAACAAAAUAUUUGAGCUGGACAAUAUGAAUGUAGUUCACGCGGACAACUAGCGUGAAUAUGGCAUUUUGAAUAAGAAAUAAUUAAAAUAAGAAGAAAAAAAUUAUUAAAAUAAGAAUAAAAAAUAAAAUAUGUAAAAAAGCAAAAAACAAAAGAUUCUUCCCCACACCCCCACCCCAUUUUUCUUUUUCCCGUUAGCUUCUUCCCCCACCCUUUCCCCUCCCCCUCCCCCCUCAAAAAAGAAAAACAACUCAAUUUCCGAAAAUCUCUUACUAAAAGUGGUCGUUUAUGCUAUCUAAGACUUAUUUUCUUCUGCUUUCAUUUAAUUUUGACCUUUUCUGGUCGUGAAACCCCCCCAAUCCAGCUUCUUCUUUCUCCCUCUCCCUUCUGGUUGUGAACAUCUCUCCCCUCUCUCCCCCCAAAUCCAGCUCCGCAAGUAGAUAAUAUUGUGUUGAUAGCCGCUGCUAAGAACAAUACGACGCUAACCUGCCUAAUUAAAAAUAUCUAAAUAGUUAUUGAUCGACGGAAUGGUGAGACGGACAAGGGAAAGAAAUAUGUGCACUGCUAAGCACAAGGCAGCGCUAAUUUGAGAGAAGGGAGAUGAGAUGGAGGCAUUAAUUUUUUUUUUCUUUAAAAAAUAGUAUAUAAUAGUAGAUAGAAUAUAAAAAAUGACGUGAAAUAUGAUGUGUCAUCCACGUCAAGCAAGUGAGAUACACACAUAGUCAGAAGGGUUUAAAAUAUAGACUUUGAUCAGGUUAAAGUGCCUGGAUGAAAAUAGGUGAAGUAGGAGGACCGAAAUAUCAAACCGAAACAAGUACAAUGAUCUACUAGCUUAUUCGGAGGUAGGCGUUUGGACAUAAGAAUUGUAAAAUUCAAAAAAAUGGUGAAAAAAAAUUUCAAGUGAAAAUGGUAUUUGAAAUUUAGAGUUGUGUUUGGACAUAAAUUUCAGUUUGGGUUAUUUUUGAAGUUUUGUGAGUGAUUUGAAUGAAAAUUUUGAAAAAUAACUUUUUGGAGUUUUUCAAAUUUUCAAAAAUUUUCAUAAUACAUUUUCAAAUUAAAAUUAAAAAUUUUAUUAACAAACGCUAAUUUCAAAAACAAUUAGAAAAAACUUCCAUCAAUUUUAUGUCCAAACUGCUCUAAGUACUGUCACAUAAAAUCUUAGGAAUAAAGUAAGAUUUUAACUGUUGGAUUCAGCAUUGUCCCCUCAAAGACAAGGGUCCUAGAGUGAGUAUAAAAGCAUAGGAUUCCCACCCUUUCACAAGGCAAAGAUGGUCCUAGGAAGGGAAAAGUACAAACCCAAAAAAACAAUUGAUAUCUGGUAAUUUCCGUGAUUAUGGAUAAUUGUCAAGGCAAUUUCGUCCUUUGGUAAAAUUUCUAAUCAAAGAACUUGACCGUACCUGGGUCUUAUCACGGCGCAGGCUUUCUUGUCAAAAGGAGGAAGCGCCACCUGUAGUCUCUGAUCCCAAAAGUACCCUCAAGUCACAGUAAAAGUGACAUCCGAUUAGACAUUCAGCCAAUCAAAUUGUUUGCAGUUAGUUGAGUGAAUUAUGUGUUGUGGUUGUAGGGCCAAGUGGUCCUUUUUAGUUGAUAGGUAGUUAGUACUAGUUACUUCAAUUAUAAAAAAGGGAUAUUUUGUCAUUUGCUGCAAAGAAUAUAACAAGAGUAGAGGUCUCUUUUUUACGUAUUUUUUUAUCUUUUAGGGUUUAGCUCACUUCUUACUCUUUUUUUUUUGUUUCCAUCCGUUAUUCAGUACCUUGGGUCUCUAUUAAUUUUAGAUUCAUGACGAAAGUUUAAUUAGGAUUAAAGCUCUUCUUACGUAAAGCAAUUUCAUACUCGGGGUUUGAAUCUGAAAUUUCUAAUUAAGAAGAAGUGCUUGCAAUUUUUGUAGGAGAUGGACUUAAACUUCAUGGCUGAGGCAUUGGACAUUUCUUAACUUUUGUUUUAGUUGACUUAAUUCUUAGCUCACUUAGUAAAGAAGAAAUUAAACGCUUUAUGGUCAAAAUAACUCCGUAAUAAAUGUAGGAGGAGAUUAGUAGUGUGAACAACUCAGGAAUAGUUUCACAAUUAAUAACCCAACAUGCAUUUUUUUAUAAUUAAACGAAGAAUAAAGAGAGAAACUCGAUUGGGUAGGUUCGAAUUUGUGAGUCUUCAAUUCGAUUUUAUCUGAUUUAGCAUAAUUUUACUCCCGAAUCCCGAUGAACUAGGUCGUAGGCCGAACUUGAGUGAAUUGUUGUUGGAUUUUUCCUUCAAAGGAGGGGUGCUAGCAAGGGAAUGAAAAUAUGCAUUUUACAUGUAGUAUUUGUGAAAAUGAGAAAAAGUAUGUGAUUUUUUUACUAAACAACUACCUCUAAGUUCUAACAAUGUUGAAGAUUUCCUUUGUUUAUGGAAGCCAUCGAGUCAUUUAUUUCUUAUGUCAAAGUAUAAUACCGUAAUUGUUUCUUACAAAAUGUCUAGAUUUGUGUUCAAUCAUUUAUCCAAGAAUAUUUACGCUCAUCUUUUAUAUGGUAGCAUUAUGAUGUGAUCGAUAUGGAGUUAAAGAUAACCACUAAUUGUGAAAGUUAUUUUUGUCACAAACAUAUAUUGGACAUUUUGUGUAUAUGUUUCAUUCACGGAAUGAAAUGAGAUAAAAAGUAAUGAAUGUGUGGAUGAUUUAAUCGUUACUUCAUUUAUUUCAAUAUAAAAGACUUUUUAAUCUUAAAAUAUACAUUACGUCAACAAUCCAUAUUCAUUUAAAGAGAUUAAUAUGUCAUUAACCUUAAAUUAUUACAGUAUAACAUUCCCUCUACUUUUACCUAAACAUGUAUUCACUUUUUUUAAUACAAACAUGUACGUGUAAUAUAAUAUUUCUGGCACUAUAAGCUCAUAACCUUAAAGUCAAAUAUAAAUUCCGAGUCUUUGUCUAACAUAUUUUAAAUUUGUAAUAAGGUUAUGCUACCUUUUUAAAAAAUUUCAUCCUACAUUAACAGAUACAAAGAUUAAAGUAUUUCCUUAAGGAUGAGCGGAUCACUCAUCCAUCCAAUUCAUGCAUCAUACAAAUUAUUCGGUACAACAAGAUUCAAGGUGUUAAAAUGAUUUCCUUAUCUUCCAUUGUUUUGGUCAAUAAUUAAACAAAUGAAAUUGUGUCAUUAACUUUUUGGUAGAGUUUCUGAAAUUGCUCGUGCAUCUAGGAUGAAAUAAUUUAAUUCUAAAACAAAACCUGUGUAUACGAGUGAAAUCGAGCCCGUGGGACGCCUUGAUUUUCGAUGAAGUAAACGGAGCAAGAGACGUGACUGUAAGGGACCGGAAUCGAGGCAAGGAGCCCCUCGAAUCGGGGUCCGGAUAAAACGCUUACCCUCGGAAGUAUCGGGGCCAUGAGCCUCAAGUUCGGUUCGAAUCCCAAAAACCUCGGAGAGUAUUACCAGACAAUCGAGCACGACCAACAAAAGGCCGUGAUAUCCGUGACCAGCCGGAUGUCACAGCGUGAAUCUCAGCACGUAUCGGCAGAAAAUCAGUGAUUAGUAAAACAGAAGAUUUUUACCUUUUAUGGAAUUGUACUUAGGGUAAAACUCUCCUACUAUAUAAAGAGGGGUCUAAUUAUUCAUUAGGGAUACUGUAAUACGCAUAUCAAGGCAAUAUACUCUUAUUUUCUCUCUUAUUCAAAGUUCUUACUUUUGUUCAUCAGUUCAUCAUUAACGUGAGCCCGGGAUCGGAGGCAGGCAUCUCAUUAAAGUUGUUACUGGGCCGGGAUCAACCCCCUUAAUUGGUUUGAUAAUUUAUUGCGUCCUUUAUCUGUUUAAUCUAACGCAAUUCAUCAUUUAUAUUCAAUUAAUCCGCGUAUCCUUAAAACCACUUAUAAAUUUAAUUGUUAUCCACUUUUUAGGGUAAACAGUUUGGCGCCCACCAUGGGGCUAAGGAUAAUAGUGGCAAUUUAGUAUAAAUUUUCAUAACACACUCUAUUUUACACUUGUUCUUUGAGCUUUUAAUUUCAGGUCAAAAUUAAAAAUGUCGAACUCCCAAUCUGCCCAUCUGAACAUGGAUGCUGAGUCUGGCCACCAUGGCGAGAACAACAACGUGGUACCCAGCAACGAGGUGCCCCCCGUUGACCCCAACGGAGUCCCAGUCGUUGAUCCGAUCGAUGCUAACUCACACAUGGCUAUCGAAGCAAACUUGCCUACUGACCCCGAAAAUAGCAUUCGUGGGGGAGCCCGGUCGAUAGCCUGGAGUACACACGACGGCGAAGGUGAUGGGAUCAACUUGCACGUGAUCUUCGAAAUGUUACAGGCUCAAUAGGCAGCGAUAGCCCAGUUGCAGAACCAAAGUCGUACCCCCAGCAGAGCUGAGCCAAAAUCGUCUCGGAAAAACGCCCGCACAAAUGAAUCGGCCACAGAAAGGGCGGGUGAAGCAGAACUCGGGACCAACCCCGAGAUUAUAAAGAUGUUUGAGGAACUGACAAAACGGGUGGAAUCGGGAGAAAAGAAAAUCGAAGCCAACGAUAAAAAAGUAGAGACCUAUAACUCCAGGGUCGAUCAAAUCCCGGGAGCGCCACCGAUACUGAAGGACCUGGAUUCCAAGAAAUUUGUCCAAAAGGCUUUCCCUCCGACCGCAGCUCCGAAGCCGAUCCUAAAGAAGUUCCGUACGCCCAAAAUUCCAAAGUAUAAUGGGACAACCGAUCCAAACAAAUAUGUUACCUCUUAUAUGUGCGCCAUCAAGUGAAUCGACUUGGAAGAUGAUGAAAUCGAAUUCGUUCUGCUGAAAAAGUUUGGAGAGACCUUGUCAAAAGGAGCUAUGAUAUGGUAUCAAAAUAUACCCCCUAAUUCUAUUGACUCGUUUGCUAUGCUUGCAGAUGCCUUUCUAAAAGCGCACGCCGGUGCCAUCAAGGUCGAGACUAGGAAGUCAGACCUUUUCAAGGUAAAGCAAAGAGAUAACGAGAUGCUCAGGGAAUUCGUAUUGAGGUUUCAAAUGGAACGUAUGGAUAUGCCUCCGGUCGCAAAUGAUUGGGUCGUUCAGGCUUUCACCCAAGGACUCAAUCCCCGAAUCUCAUUGGUUUCACUGCAGUUGAAGCAAAUUUUGAUUGUAUACUCGGCGGUAACUUGGGCAGACGAUCAUAACCGGUACCAAUCAAAAAUCAGGGUCGAAGAUGAUCAGCUCGGGGGCCCUUCUGGAUCAGUUUAUUCUGUCAGAACUAGUGACAGAUCCAAAAGCGACAUCGAUCAUGAGACAAGAUUGAACAGAGACCGGUGUCAACCAUACAAUAGAGAUCGAAGGGGUAAUGGGUCCACCUAAUGUGUAAAUAUCAUGACACUCACGGCCACAGAAUCGAAGACUGCCGACAACUGAGAGAGGAAGUAGCCCGGUUAUUCAACAACGGACACCUCCGAGAGUUUCUGAGUGAUCGAGCCAAAAAUCACUUCAGGAAUAGGGACUCCAACAAGAAUAUUGAGCAAGAGGAACCUCAGCACGUCAUUAACAUGAUCAUCGAUGAGGUUGACAUCCCUCAGGGGACGAUGUUAAAGCGCACUAAAGUGUCCACUACAAGGGAAAAAGGGACUCGAGAUUAUGUACCGUAGGGAACCGUAUCUUUCAAUAAUGAGGAUGCUGAAGGCAUCGUGCAACCACACAAUGAUGCGCUAGUAAUAUCUGUACUCAUAAAUAAAUCUCAAGUUAAACGUGUGUUGAUUGAUUCAGGUAGCUCGGCCAAUAUCAUCAGAUCAAGGGCCGUGGAACAGUUGGGUCUGCAAGACCAAAUUGUGCCUGCAGUCCGAAUUUUAAACAGGUUUAACAUGGCAUGUGAAACCACUAAAGGGGAGAUAACCCUGCCGGCAAACACUGUUGGAACCAUUCAGGAAAUAAAGUUCUACGUGAUCGAAGGAGAUAUGAGAUACAACGCUCUAUUCGGGAGGCCAUUGAUUCACAACAUGAGGGCAGUACCCUCGACACUACAUCAGGCGUUGAAAUUCCCCACACCGGGAGGGAUCAAAAUAGUUUAUGGAGAGAAACUGGCCGCCGUAAAAGAAAUAUUCGCGGUCGAUGAGGUGGUCUCGAUAUCCCCACUCUCGACAUCGAAGAACCCGAGUUUGGUCACCAAGGAAGAAACCAGAUAGCAAUCACCGACACCGGCCCCGACCGAACCAGAAAAGCAGGGGACGGGCGAGGAUAACGAUUACGGAGUCCCCGGGUCUUUCAUAGCCCCUGACGAUUCUAAUGACACCAAGUCAACGGUUGAGGAGCUAGAGCAAGUCAUAUUGAUCGAGCACCUGCCCGAUCGGAAGGUAUCCCUGGGCAUGGGGCUUACUCCCGAGCUUAGGAAAAACUCAUUGAAGAUCUUAUAGCUAACAUCGAUUAUUUCGCUUGGUCCCAUCUUGACAUGACAGGAUCCCGCCGGAAAUAACUACUCAUAAGCUGAGCUUAGGUACGAAGUUUCACCUGGUUAAAUAUAAGAGGAGGCCUCAGUCCGAAGUCAAGCACGCAUUCAUCAAAGACGAGGUAUCCAAACUUCUUAAAAUAGGUUCCAUUCGGGAAGUUAAGUACCCGGACUGGUUAGCAACAUAGUGGUAGUGCCUAAAAAGGGAAAUAAAUUAAGAAUGUGUGUAGACUACAAAGACUUGAACAAGGCAUGCCCGAAGGACUCUUUUCUUUUGCCUAACAUCGAUCGCAUGAUCGAUGCGACGGCCGGCCACGAGAUACUCAGCUUUCUCGACGCCUAUUCCGGGUACAACCAGAUCCGGAUGGAUCCGGCUGAUUAGGAAAAGACUUCCUUCAUCACUAAAUAUGGCGCCUAUUGUUAUAACGCAAUUCUGUUCGGACAAAAAAAUGUUGGUGCCACUUACCAAUGCCUAGUAAAUCGGAUGUUCGAAGAGCAAAUAGAAAAUUUAAUGGAGAUUUACAUUGACGACAUGUUAGUUAAGUCCCUGCGAGCAGAGGACCAUUUGAAAUAUUUGUAGGAAAUCUUCAACAUACUUAAGAAAUACAAUAUGAAGUUGAACCUAGAGAAAUGUACAUUCGGAGUCGGGUCCGAAAAGUUUCUUAGAUUCAUGGUGUCCAACCGGGGAAUCGAGAUCAAUCCCGACAAGAUCAAGGCCACAGAAGACAUCACCGUAGUGGACAAUGUCAAGGUUGUUCAAAGGCUAACCGGGCGCAUAGCCUCCUUGGGUCGGUUCAUUUCAAGGUCCUCCGAUAAUAGCCAUCGAUUCUUCUUUUAUUGAAGAAGAAGAAGAAUAACUUCUCGUGGACACCAGAGUGUCAGCAAGCUUUGGAAGAACUCAAACGGUACCCUUCGAGUCCGCCUUUACUUCAUACUCCGAAGGCAGAUAAGCAGUUGUACCUGUACUUAGCGGUAUCCGAGAUAGCGGUAAGUGGAGUCUUAGUCCGGGAAGAAGAAGGUACGCAAUUCCCUAUAUAUUAUGUUAGCAGGACUCUAGGCGAGGCCGAAACGAGGUAUCCUCACCUGGAGAAAUUGGCGCUCGCUUUGCUAAGCGCCUCCAGGAAGUUAAGGUUGUAUUUUCAAUGGCAUCCCAUAUGUGUCGUGACUACUUACCCAUUGAGGAACAUAAUGCACAAAUCCAAGCUCUCGGGACGCCAAAUGGGCCGUAGAAAUUAGUGGGUACAAUAUUGAAUAUCGACCCCGAACCGCCAUCAAAUCUCAAAUUUUGACAGAUUUCGCGGCUGACUUCACACCGGCCUUAAUACCCGAAGUCGAAAAUGAAUUAUUGUUAACCUCGAGGGCCUCCUCGGGGAUCUGGACCCUCUUUACGGAUGGUGCUUUGAAUGCAAAGGAGUCCGGACUCGGUAUCGUGUUAAAGCCGCAUAGAGGUAACAUAUUUAGGCAAUCUAUUAAAACUGUAAAAUUGACUAAUAAUGAGGCCGAGUAUGAGGCCAUGAUUGCAGGUCUCGAACUGGCUAAACGCCUGGGGGCCGAGGUGAUUGAAGCUAAAUGUGAUUCCCUCCUUGUGGUGAAUCAAGUCAAUGGGAUGUUCAAAGUGAAAGAGGAAUGAAUGCGAAGAUACUUGGAUAAACUACAUAUAACACUACAUCGAUUCAAGGAGUGGACCCUGCAACAUGUAUCCCGGGAUCAAAACAGCGAAGCCGAUGCUCUGGCUAACUUGGAGUAGUCGGUUGAUGAUGAUGAAUUCAGCUUGGGAAUGGUCGUACAACUCAUGAAAUCGAUAGUGGAAGAAGGCCACGCCGAGGUAAACUCGACAAGCUUAGCUUGGGACGGGAGAAACAAAUAUAUAGAUUACCUAAAGACCAAGAAGCUGCCCUCGGAUCCUAAAGAAUCGAAAGCUCUGCGCACGAAGGCGGCCAGGUUCAGCCUGUCCGAAGAUAACACCUUAUUUAGAAGAAUGUUCGAUGGCCCACUCGUCAUAUGUCUGGGACCGGGAGACACUGAAUAUGUUUUGAGGGAAGUUCACGAAGGCACCUACGGGAACCAUUCGGGGGCCGAAUUAUUGGUUCGUAAGAUAAUCAGAGCCGGCUAUUACUGGAUAGACAUGGAGAAAGAUGCGAAGGAGUUCGUGCAAAAAUGCGAUGGCUGUUAGAGGCACGCACCGAUGAUUCAUCAGCCCGGAGAGCUACUACAUUCGGUCUUGUCACCUUAUCCAUUCAUAAAAUGGGGAAUGGACAUCGUUGGUCCCCUGCCAUGGGCACCCGGUAAGGCUCAAUUUAUAUUAUUUAUGACUGACUAUUUUUCUAAAUGGGUUGAAGCUCGGGCAUUUGAGAAAGUCAGAGAAAAAGAAGUUAUUUAUUUUAUUUGGGACCACAUAAUAUGUCGGUUGGAAUGCCGGCCGAGAUCUUAUGUGACAACGGGAAGCAGUUCAUCGGCAGUAAGGUAAGCAAAUUUUUCGAGGACCAUAAGAUCAAAAGUAUCCUGUCAACACCCUAUCACCCUAGUGGGAACGGACAUGCGGAGUCUACAAACAAGACCAUACUCCAAAACCUUAAGAAAAGGUUGACCGAUGCCAAAGGAAAAUGGAAGGAAAUUUUUCCCAAAGUACUAUGGGCAUACCGUACGACCUCAAAGUCUAGUAUAGGGGCCACCCCGUUUUCGUUGGUCUACGAUGCCGAAGCACUAAUACCAGUCGAGGUAGAAGAACUGAGUUUCAAGUUCUGAUACGUGACCGAAGAGUCAAACAGUGAGGCCAUGAGCACGAGCCUAGAACUAUUGGAUGAGAGGCACGAGGCCGCCCUCGUCCGAUUUUCCGCCCAGAAACAACGGAUCGAAAGGUAUUACAACCGGAGAGCCAACCUCCCGCACUUCAAUAUCAGGGACCUGGUGUUAAUAAAGGUGACACUGAACACCCAAAACCCGAACGAAGAGAAGCUGAAACCGAAUUGGGAAGGUCCAUAUCGAAUUAUCGAGAUUGCCGGUAAAGGUUCGUACAAACUCGAAGCAGGGAACGAUGAGCAGUUACCGAACAACUGGAACGUAACCUACUUAAAACGAUACUACUGCUAAGGUACAACCCCAUUCUUUUUUUAUUAUUAUUAUUACAUAUAUUGCGAGUUGAACUAACACUUGCAGGCAACAACCAAAGGAUGAUGCAGUUGUUAGGCCUGAAAGCACGCGUUGCACUCUUUUUAUCUUGAACCGGUUUUGUCCCAAAUGGGUUUUCCGAUAAGGUUUUUAAAGAGGCAACGGUGGAUCUUGCUAACUUAGAAUUUAAGACCGGUUAUGAACCGAGGUCGAUGGUCACAUCAACAGUAUCCGAGCCCUCUCAACGAUCGACCUCGAAUACUGGGGUUCAUCACCCUCGGGUAAUAAUUUUUAGCAAGGAAGGAAACUUUGUGCUUGAAUAGUCUAGGCUCGGUGGAUAUGAUUUAUUGUAAGGGCCAAACUGUCAAAUGAAUCAUGCUCGCAUAGACCACCUAAGCCAUAACAUGAAGCUUGUACACACUUACAAUCUUGUAUAUUACGCACAGGAAUGAAAGAAAGUUUCUACCUUGCAGAUACAUAUUUUGUCCCUUAAGACUAUUACAUUUUGUUCCUUAAGGAUAUCGAGCCCAGGGGUCGCCUCUAUCUGGAUCUAAUAGAUCACCCCUACUCGGGGACUGUCGUCCAAGACAAACUUGGACGGCUCGGGCUAUCGAAGCUCGGAGGCAUAAAAACCUAUUAGGCAGUGCCUAAACUUAAAAGGCUAUGGCUACCCUUACUCGGGGACUGCCAUCCAAGACAAGCUCGGACGGCUCGGGCUAUCGAAGCCCGGAGGUACAAAGCCUAUUAGGUAGUUCCUGAACUUAAAAGGUUACGGCCUUCAAAAUUCUAAACCGGUUCAAAGGUUACCCUCGGUAAAAUUAUAGUCUAAAAAUAUCUAAACAAGCACUUGGGGAAAGCUUCCGGUCAUAUCGAGCCCGCACAAGUUUCAAACAAAACUUACAUCGAGAACAAGUCUUGUUCGGACCUCCGAACAACAACUUAUUACUACGUUUUAUUCUGUGCUGAGGCAUUUGAAAUCUUUGCAAUUGUAAAAAGGAGGCUAAAGGUAAUAAACUUGAAAAUUGCCAAAAGGGAAUAAACCUUAUAAAUACGUUCCAAAAUAUCUUUACAAAGGCCAAUAAAAACGGCCUCAACAAAAUAAAUGUACAAAAUGCAAAAACAAAGACAAAAAUUCCUAAGGCACCUACGCCUGAUCUCCACCAGAACCCGCCUCGUCACCAGAGCCGUCUGGGUCUUCUCCCUCUUCGGGUUCGCUGGAGCCCUCAGAGCCUUCUUCUCCCUCGGGUUCAGCCAGCUUCUUGGCCUCGACCUUGAGCCUUUUCGCCUCUUUGAUCUCGGCCGACAGGUCGAAACCUCGGGCAUGGAUCUCUUCAAGGGUCUCCCUUCAAGACAACUGCUUCACAUACUCAACAGUGACUUUUAGGUGGGCCUCUACUGCUUCAACAUCAGCCCUAUACUGAGCCACCAUCUCUUCAGCAUCAGCCCUGGUUGUCUCCGACUUGGACCUUGUUAUUUCAAGCUCCUUGCAAGGGCAUCCCGUUCGACAAUAGUCGAGCCCAGUUGAGCUUAGAGGUCCUCGUUUUAUCGAGUCCGAACAUCGGCUUUCUCUUUCGCCACUCGGAGUUGGACCUCUACCAAUGCCAACUGCUCUCGAGCGGUCUCUUAUGAUAGGCUACAAUUAUGUAUUUUAGUCGGUUAUUACACUCUAAUUUACUGCACCUUAAUUGAGUUUGAGCUUUAAUCGCUAGUGUUUUGCACUAAUUGUGUGUUUUAUGCCUUGUAGGAGUGAUUUCGAGCUAUGUAGAUGUUAGGGAAUGAAUUCAAGUAAUUUGGAGCUUUGAAGUCUGAGUAAAAACCCAAGUAAUUAAGUCGGAAUCGUGUUCGGGGAUCAAAUUUGAUAGUUAAGAACGAACGAAAAAUCGAGUAGGCAUAUUGCGCACUGUCUAGUAAAAUUCACAUAACAUUUCGCUCAGAACUCCACUUGAUCUCCACAAUAUAUGGUUGGAAAUCUAAUUCAAAGGGCUACAACUUUCAUGUUUCACGUUUUACCAAAUUACAAACCUAAUAGGGUGAAAAUUGCACAACACGUGAGCGGACGCGCACUGGCCGUGGAUGUGAGGCAGAAACUGGCCAAAAUCCGCGGUUGAAUCCGCGGCCGCGGACGUCCUGACCUGGAAAAGUGUCAUUUUUCGCGUAGGAGAAGGUUUAAUUAUUUGGUGCCGACCCUACUUGGUAUAUAUACAUGGAAAAACGGUAUUUUGAGUACUUUUGACAUAUUUUUGACAUAAUUUAGACCUAAGGAGGCUAUGGAGACUGGGGAUUCGACCUAAGGAGGCAAGAACAUACUAGGAGCAAGGCGGAGAAUUCUUCUACAAGUUUCUCACUUCCUUCUUCCUAUUUCUAUUAUUGGUUAUGAAUUCUAGUAUUGUAGUUAUGCAUACUAUUAUGAAUAGCUAAUUUGUUAUCUAGGGUUUUGAUGGAACCUUUUGUAGGAUGAAUUCUUGUUAUGUUUUAAUAUAAUUUAGCCUUUGAAUUUAUCUAUUUGUUCAACUACGUGUUUAUUUCAGUUGAUUGAAUGGCUAUCGAUUGAGUGUGCCUAUUUAUUAUGUGUUGCUUGUGAACAUAUUUAGGUAGUUGUUGAACAACGUCACUCCUAACGUAUGUGAGAAAUCAAUACAGUAGGUUUAAAGGUAGGUUUAGAAAUAACAAAGUCUUGACGUGGUCAUAGUGAGCGGUUCGAUGAAGCCAACUAGCGUAGUUCGAGAGAAUGUGUCUAAUAAAUUGUUGUAGUUGCUCGAGAGAGAAUUACGGCACCUAAAGUGCUCACGAUCAGUAGAGAAUACAUCGGCGAAAUUGUUGGGAACAUAGAUGGAAGGAUUCCGACAAUUAGAGAAAUCAUAACUCUAGACCUCAUUAAUUUAGUCUCCAAACCUUUGUCUCGUUAGUUGAUAAUUUUACCGCUUUCUAGUAUUUGCUAGUUAAUUCGUUAGAAAUAUAAAUCUCAAUCUUUAUAAUUUAGAAAAUUAUUCAAACUUGUCUUCUUAGUGAUAUUAAAAAGCUAUAGCUAAGCCUUAGUUCUCUAUGGGAUUCGACUCCGGACUUUUAGACCGGAUUAUAUUUGCAACGACCGCUUAUCUUUUUUAGGACUAGAGUUGGCGUGAUCAAAUUUUGGCCCCGUUGCCGGGGAACUAACGGUGUAGCUGUAGGUGUACAUAUUUCUAGGUUGCAAGUUUAAAUUUUUAUUUUUGUUUUCUUGUAUCUGAUUAUUUUUUAAAAUUUUAUUUUUGACUUGAGAGACAUGGCAUCUUGGAAUUAUGAGAGUUUUGAUGUUGGUAAUUCUACUUUUGAUCCUCCUUAUGCAUAUUAUAGAGGAAGCCACCCAUUGCAAAAUUAUCAAAAUAUUUCCGAUAGCGAGUUAUGCGCACCAAGGCAAUCUUAUAUGUGGAAUGUGUGUGAUAUGCGUGGUGGUCAAGAUGGUCACUUUCAUAGUUGUGCUUAUACUUCUUAUCUUCCCCCAACCCCUUACUAUGAUGGUUCUUUUUUUUCUUGUGAAGUUAAUAUGAACAAAGAACCCAGGGAUGAUGACCUGAAAGAGAUCAAGGAUAUGCUAAAGUGCCUUGUGGAGCAAAAUAAUGAGAAACAACUUCACAUAAAAGGCAAGAUGCUGUUAUUCGCAACCUGGAGGCACAGGUGCGUCAAUUAGUUGAAGCAUUUAAUUCUCAACCAGCUGAUAUUAUGGAUAGUAGCCAAAAGGAGCUUGUAUUAGAUGCAAAAAUUGAGGUUCUAAGGGAGGAGGACAGAGUAGAACACCAACAAUCAAUUGAAUUGGAUUUUGAGGAUGUCGAUGUUGUAGAAGAGAUACUAGAGUGAACCAAGGAAGUUGAGGAUAUAAAUUUAGUUAACUCUAGCGUGAUUGGUGUUGAGGAUGUCGAAAAUCUUAAAGUUCAUGUAUUUGAGCGCGUUGGACCUCAUUCCAAACACUUCUAUACAUUAUGUUCAGACGGUGAAAUGGUAAUGGAUCUUUAUGAGCAUAAAAAGCAGUCCAGGGAAGAGGUAGAUGAGCCUUAUAUUUUGAAAUUUUCAAGGCCGUCUAGGCAAGGUGACACUCCUCGGUGGAGAGCCAAAAAGUGGAUGAGAAUUCAUUUAAUUUUUGGCUCGCAACAAUUUGUAUCGCCCCAAGAGCAUGAUCAUAGAGCAGAAUCAAAACUUGGGGUCCAAUUCAUAAGUUCAAGGUGGAGACAAAAAGUAGUUUUCGUCGUGCCGCGACGUUAAAUUAAGCGCUUGUUGGGAGGCAACCCAACUUUAUUUUUUAUUUUUUUUAUUUUUUUAUUUUUAUUUUUUUUAUUAUAGUAUUAUUUUUGUAGUAUCGAUUUUUGAUUUUUUAGGAGCAUGGAACGCAAAGCCAUUGGAAGAAUGUAACAGCAAACCAUAUGGUUAGAACUAAGUGUGAGGUACCCGCAUGAAGGACCAGGCCUGAGAGAAGUCUGAGUACCCCAUGAGAUGCUAGUGCUUCGGCCUUUGGCCUACCAGGGAGUUUCUUUUACCCUCUUGUAUGUAUGGGUGUGCAUUGGGGACAAUGCACAAUUUUAAGUGUGGGGUGAGGAGAUUGUCUGGGUGACUAUCAAUGUUAUUUUAGUUGUGUUAGUUUAAUUGAAUUUUUUAUUAUUAUUUUUACAAAAAUAGAAAAGAUUGGACUUUUUCCGACGAUGGAUCUAUUAGAUAUUUUUCUUGAGGGAUUUAAGUAGAAAGGAAAAAGACAAAAAGAUUUUUUUCGUAGGUAGUGUAGUAAUUCCCCCUUGAUUUUUCUUUGUGCCGCGGUUCUUUUCCAAGAGUUUUGUUUGAACCGAGUGUAGCUAGUUUUAUUUUUUUAGGAAUAGGAGCUAUUGUGUUGUGUUUUGAAUUGAACCUUGCCUUUGUUAUGCCUUGAGAAUAGUGAGUACUUUGGUUGUGACGCUUAGGCUNNNNNNNNNNNNNNNNNNNNNGNAAGGUACUGUCAAUGACCUCUAUGUUAGAGUAAGUGGGUGAGUUGUGAAUAAUGCGUGGUACUUGUAAGUCAAAUCUUGAAGUGAAGAUAUUACGCUUUUGUGCUUUGUCUAUUUUAAGUAUUCUUGGUGUGAUGAGUUAGGAGAAUUAUUUUAAAAGGUCGUGUCUAUAUAAAGUGUAGUUUGAUUGCUCGAGGACGAGCAAUGGUUUAAGUGUGGGGUGUUGAUGAUAGGCUAUAAUUAUGUAUUUUAGUCGCUUAUUACACUCUAAUUUACUGCACUUUAAUUGAGUUUGAGCUUUAAUCGCUAGUAUUUUGCACUAAUUAUGUGUUUUAUGCCUUGUAGGAGUGAUUUUGAGCUAUGUAGAUGUUAGGGAAUGAAUUCAAGUAAUUUGGAGCUUUGAAGUCUGAGUAAAAACCCAAGUAAUUAAGUCGGGAUCGUGUUCGGGGAUCAAAUUUGAUAGUUAAGAACGAACGAAAAAUCGAGUAGGCAUAUUGCGCACUGUCUAGUAAAAUUCACAUAACGUUUCGCUCAGAACUUCACUUGAUCUCAACAAUAUAUGGUUGGAAAGCUAAUUCAAAGGGCUACAACUUUCAUGUUUCACAUUUUACCAAAUUCCAAACCUAAUAGGGUGGAAAUUGCACAACACGUGAGCAGACGCGCACUGGCCGUGGAUGUGAGGCAGAAACUGGCCAAAAUCCGCGGCCAAAUCCGCGGUUGAAUCCGCGGCCGCGGACGUCUUGAUCUGAAAAAGUGUCAUUUUUCGCGUAGGAGAAGGUUUAAUUAUUUGGGGCCGACCCUACUUGGUAUAUAUACAUGGAAAAACGGUAUUUUGAGUACUUUUGACAUAUUUUAGACCUAAGGAGGCUAUGGAGACUGGGGAUUCGACCUAAGGAGGCAAGAACAUACUAGGAGCAAGGCGGAGAAUUCUUCUACAAGUUUCUCACUUCCUUCUUCCUAUUUCUAUUAUUGGUUAUGAAUUCUAGUAUUGUAGUUAUGCAUACUAUUAUGAAUAGCUAAUUUGUUAUCUAGGAUUUUGAUGGAACCUUUUGUAGGAUGAAUUCUUGUUAUGUUUUAAUAUAAUUUAGCCUUUGAAUUUAUCUAUUUGUUCAACUACUUGUUUGUUUCAGUUGAUUGAAUGGCCAUCGAUUGACUGUGCCUAUUUAUUAUGUGUUGCUUGUGAAUAUAUUUAGGUGGUUGUUGAACAACGUCACUCCUAACGUAUGUAAAAAAUCAAUACAGUGGGUUUAAAGGUAGGUUUAGAAAUAACAAAGUCUUGACGUGGUCAUAGUGAGCGGUUCGAUGAAGCCAACUAGCGUAGUUCGAGAGAAUAUGUCUAGUAAAUUGUUGUAGUUGCUUGAGAGAGAAUUACGGCACCUAAAGUGCUCACGAUCAGUAGAGAUUACAUCGGCAAAAUUGUUGGGAACAUAGAUGGAAGGAUUCCGACAAUUAGAGAAAUCAUAACUCUAGACCUCAUUAAUUUAGUCUCCAAACCUUUGUCUCGUUAGUUGAUAAUUUUACCGCUUUCUAGUAUUUGCUAGUUAAUUCGUUAGAAAUAUAAAUCUCAAUCUUUAUAAUUUAGAAAAUUAUUCAAACUUGUCUUCUUAGUGAUAUUAAAAAGCUAUAGCUAAGCCUUAGUUCUCUGUGGGAUUCGACUCCGAACUUUUCGACCGGAUUAUAUUUGCAGCGACCGCUUAUCCUUUUUAGGACUAGAGUUGGGCGUGAUCAGUCUCCUUCUCCGAAUCCAGUCGGUCCAUUUUUCCCUUCUAGACAUCGGCCAUGGCCUGGACCACGUUCAUUUCAGCCCGGAGUUGGUCGAUCCGGUCAAUCUUCUGUUGGACCUGCGAGGUUUGGUCGUUAGUCGCCAUGGCUAAAUCGUCAUUGCUAACUUCGAAAAUCUUUACAUGUUCCACCAAGUCGGCAUGCUCCUUCUGAGCCGCAUCCAACUCGGCCCGGAAACUCUUGAUGGCUUCUUCGUGUUGCUCGCUGAGAAGCUUAUACGUGUCCCUCUUCCCGGCGAGCUUCCUGACCUCAGCCUCGAGUUGGUUAACCUCAGCCCGGUACAGGAGAAAACUUUCAUGAUGGAGUAUCGAGGCCUGCAAAAAGAUAAAAGAGAUAAAACAUGAGAAAAAUCAAAAAUUAAGUCAGAAGAUGGAAGAGCGUAAUGAUGUCUUACCCGGUUCAGCGCUCGCUGCGCUUCGUUGAACAAGCACGGCACAUCCACCUCGUUCAUUUUCGCCUGGACUUCUUCGGUUACCAGGCACCGGAGGUAGCUCGCUACUCCAAUGGGGGCAGAAAGAACUCGGGCAUCCUCCGGGACGGUGAUGACUAUUGACCUCUUACGGCCGAGAUCCAUGCUCGGGGUGGGGAACUAGUUUAUUAAUUUUGGGCUCGAGUUCAGCGCGCUGACCUCUGAAGAUGAGUCUUUCCUCGGCACCUCCAAGUCGCCCAACCCGGAGAAGUCUUCCAUAGUAGUCGAGUCUACACCUUCGAAAAAAGAACGAAGGGGAUCGUCCGCUCCAUGGGCCCAUUCGUUGGAUCUCUCCUUCACUACUCGGGCGGAGUGGAUCCGGCGUCUCGAGAGGUCUUGGCCCUCAUCUCUACUUCGGCUUCCCGAACCUGAGGGGGAUCAGCUUCCGUUGUUUCCCCCUCGACUGCCGCCCGCUCUUCGAGGAAGGUCGGCUCAUGGGCCACAAAAAUAUCAUCUUCCUCGGGCUCAUCCCUGAGUUGAAAAAGCGAGUCUGAGUCGGGUGCUCGAGAGCUAUAACUCUCCUUUGGCUUACGGGCCAGCCUUCUUCUCCUUGGCUUCUUCUUAUUUGAGCUCGGGGGAACCCAAAGCCUUCAUUUUUUUCUUUUCUCCUGUUGUAUCCCCGAGCUCCCCCGAAGCGGGUGGAUCAACGGACAUGUCCUCAUCCCCUACUAAAGGCCUAAGCUCAAUGGUCUUAGGCAAGCCUGAGAAAAGAAAAGAGAGGAACUGAGAAUAUGGUGCUAAAAAGGGAGCCUAAUGUUACUUAUUCGCGAGAGAGAUUUUACCUUGAGAACGGGCCUCCCAGCGGCCCUUCGAGAGUUCGCGCCAUGUGCGCUCAGAAUAAGGCAUCUGCGAACAAAUGCCCUCGAUCGACUCCUUGAACCGAGGAAUGGCGUUUGGGAUUCGAGCAGCAGCUGCACCACCACAAAUACUGGUGAGGAAAAAGCAGAUGAACGUAAAAUCGACAUUUAAAGGAAAGUUGUGCUUACGUGAUACAUUCCACUUCUCGAGGAAUGGCAUAAACUCGGAAGGGAUCUGGUCUUCACCCAGACAAAGCGUCCCUGCCAGCCUUAGUCCUGGUUCUCAUCGAUGCUCGAGAAUGGGGCUUUGCUAGCCCGACGUGUGAGUUUUAUCAGUCCCCCUCAAAAGAUUCGGGGAUUGUAUAGGCGGAGCAGGUUAUCGAUGGUGAACCAACGGGAUUUGGUCUUGUUCACGAAGCAUCGAAGAAGGAUUACGAUCCUCCACAACGACGGGUCGAUUUGACCGAGGUAUACUUCAUACCUUUUGCAGAAGUCCAGAAUAACCGAGUCCACCGGGCCCAGUGUGAAGGGAUAAGUGUAAACACUCAGAUACCCUUCCACAUGGGUAGUAAUGGCGUCCUCGGGUCCUGGGACUACUACGUCCUUAUCCACCCAGUUGCAUCCACAUGAAGGACGUCUUCGGUGAUGGAGAAAAUAUACCUAGAUACCGCCUCGCAUCGGCCAUGCACCGACGAUGGCUUUUCGACCUUAAAGUCAUCUGCGACCGAGCAUCCCCCGGGAACGAACAUUUUCAAGGGAGGCUGGGCAGCCGGUUCAUCGGUAGCCGCGCCCGCAACAGAUCUCUCGAGGACGACCACAUCGGGAGUGGUCUCCUCGACUUCGGCGGUCGGUUGUGAAAAAGAAGGAGCGAAUUUUUGGGGAAUAGUUUGGAAGUUUUAGCCAUUGUUAUCUAGAAAAAGUUUGAAAAAUAUGAAGAAAGAUUGGGAGAUGAAAGGUAAAAGCUUUACUGAGAAAAUCAAAUGCGCUGGUUUGGGUAGAAAAUAAGUAAAAGCUUACAAUUUACUGAGAAAUCUUGAAGAAUGGAGGUAAAAAUGUUAGUGUAUGAAGAAGGACAGUGAUAUCGUGAAGACUAGAAGGUAGAAGCUUGGUCAAAAGGUAAAAAAAUGAACGAAGGAGAUGAGUAUUUAUAGAGGCUUCGCGCCGUUUCACAUCUAGGGAUGACCUGCCGAUGGCUGACACGCGUUUGAAGUCAUAAUGACAUGACUGACGGGACGUUUCAGAUUCUUUGUCGUUUUUGUCACGGCCUAUUGAAAGAGGAAUCAAAGUGCACUUGUCGUUUCUCGUCGUUUCCGUAAACUUACUCUCCGAGAAAUGAGAGGACUAUUUGUAUACGGGUGAAACCGAGCCCGUGGGACGCCUUAGUUUUCGAUGAAGUAAACGGAGCAAGAGACGUGAUUGUAAGGAACCGAAAUCGAGGCAAGGUCCCCCUCGAGUCGGGGUCCGGGCAAAACGCCUGCACUCGGAAGUAUCGGGGUCACAAACUCCAGGUUCUGUUCGAAUCCCAAAAACCUCGGAGAGCAUUACCAGACAAUCGAGCACGACCUACAAAAGGCCGUGAUAUCCGUGACUAGCCAGAUGUCACGGCAUGAAUCUCGGCAUGUAUCGGUAGAAAAUAGGUGAUUAGUAAAACAAAAGAUUUUUACUUUUUAUGGAAUUGUACUUAGGGUAAAACUCCCCUACUAUAUAAAGAUGGGUCUAAUUAGUCAUUAGGGAUACUGUAACACGCAUAUCAAUGCAAUAUACUCUUAUUUUCUCUGUUAUUCAAAAUUCUUACUUUUGUUCAAUAGUUCAUCAUUAAUGUGAGCCCGGAAUCAGAGGCAGCCAUUUCAUUAAAGUUGUUAUUGGGCCGGGAUCAUUUCCUAUUAAUUGGUUUGACAAUUUAUUACGUAAUUUAUCUGUUUAAUCUAACGCAAUUCAUUAUUUGUAUUCAAUUAAUCCGCGUAUCCUUAAAACCACUUAUAAAUUUAUUUGUUAUCCGUUUUUUAGGGCAAACAACGUGGAUACUUAAAAUUUAGAAAGAUAUAUUCUAAGCAAUAACGUUUUCAUGAUCAACCAGAGUGAAGAGCAAUUAAAAGAUCAUAAUUAAGUUAAUAUUUUUUUAACUCAUAUUAGUAGUUUAGUACAUUAGAGAAUAUACACAAAUAAUUAACCAAGGGUUUCUACAUACAUCGAUUUGUUUUAAUAAUAAUGGCAACAAAAGUAACAUAAUAAAAUUAAAAAAAAAGGUCGAGAAGAGCAUCUGUUGCUGCUUUCGUCAUACAACAAAAUCAAUAAUUUAGUCGAGCAUUAGUGCCGUAAAUAAAUAAACUUAGACCGUUUCUAGUUGUAGCACAAUAAUAGCAUGUGCUUAAAUAGUAUAGUAACUGAAGAGUCUUGGGAAAGGCUAGCUCAGGUCAGCUAGCCAAGCUGAAAGUAACGGAGCCACAUAGCCGUUAACAAGAAGGGUGGAAAGUGGAAACUGUUGACCGUCCAUUAAUUGAGAAGAUAAGAGUCCAAAAGAAGACGAGCCGCCAACGAAAGCGACGACCAUUUCUCCUUUGUUUCUCUAAUCCUUCAAAGCUUCGUUUUCGCUGACUGUUGAAUUCUAAUCAUUUGUCUCUUCCAACCUCCGCGUAACCAAAAGAAAAAAAGAUUCCCCCAUAGCUAUCUAAUAGGAGUACAGUAGCGAAGCCGUGUUUAAAUUUUGAACACCCUUUGUCAUUGGGCUAUGUAAGAGUUUUCAGAGUUUAUUUUUAAUCAAUAAUAAGUACUAAUAUUUUAUCUUAUAUGCAGUAUAAUUUUUCAGCGAAGGGUGAUCCAACAUAGCUUUGCCCCUGUAGGAGUAGUAUAUCUUCCCCCUCUCCACUCUUGUCCAUCGGGGUUAGUGAUAGUAAAUGGGCGGAUUGGAUCGAAUUUACAUCCUCAAACGUUAUGUUUAAGUUAAAUAAAGACACGUAAAACAAAACGGAAUAUAUAUUUAUUGGAGGAGACCAUGCACCCCGAUUAGUGCUGGCAAAAUGAUAUAUAGAUCGAAAUCUAUCACGGAACAUUUAGGGCGAGGAAGUAUUGAGAAAAAAUCGGCCGAGGUCGAUCAGGAAAUGGCAAAUCUCAUGGUCGGGAUGCUUAUAAUGGUCGAGGACAAAGUUCGCGGAAAGAAUCGUAACAGCUAGUUUUUAGAAUAGGAUAAUAGAGGGAAUAUUCUAAAGAAUAUUCUAUGCACAUGUACUAUUAGGAUUUAUUAGGGAUAUGUCACAUAUAAAGAGAAAAAAAAUAAGGAAAAAGGGUAUGUAAUAUUCAGGUGAUAAGAACAGAUUUCGAAAAAGGAUUCUCUCUCUCUCUAGCAAAGAUACAAACAUCACAUGUUCAUCAAGAUUCUUAUUGGUAUUAUUUCAUACUUUUCCAUUAGAUCCGAGAAUAGUUCGAAUAUUCUAGAAUUUAUCUAUCACUCAUCAUUGUCAUAAGGAACAAUCAUCUAGUUCAUUUUUCAUUGGGUGAAUCACCCAUCUUAUUUACUUAAAUGUCAUUUAUUGCUAGUUACUCCUCCAUUAUUGCUCAUACUUUUUGGAAUAUUUAAUGCUUGUUAUUGUUGAUCUCCCACUAAAUCUGUCCCACAUUAUCCACACUUUUAAGAUCCGCAUUUAGAGAUAUUAUUAUUAACUAGGUUUAACCUCUCAUUAUGUAAAUAUAAUAGUUUAACCGAAAAUUAUACUUUUUGGUCAAACAAAUGAGCCCAUAUUUUAUCAACCCGACCAAUCCGCCCAUAUUUUAGUUGGUUGGAUGAGUGAUAUUUAAGUUGAGUAAAAUUUGGGUUUCAACCCAUAUUUAAUCCGUAGAAAUAUGGAUAUUCAUGGGUAAAAUAUGGGUUAGCCUAGUGGGUUUCAACUUUUGCUCACUCAAAAAAUAUGAUAUCAUUUUUUCAACUUAAAAUGCUAUAAAGGUAUUCCAACUUCUCUUCCUUAGUAUGUUUCUUCUCACUAUAAUUGACUAUGUGAGUACUUUUUUUCUUUUUCUUUUUUCCGUCUAAACAUUGUAAGUACUAUUUACUAUUCUUUAGCGUUCUUGUUCUUUCUAAAUGCAUACUUGAAUACCAAAAAUAAUUUAAGAAGUAGAAGCAAAUUUGUAUAGUUUUUAUUUGUUCUUGAAGAGUACAUGUUAAGAAAGAGAGUGUUUUUUCCCACUUGUAAUACAUCAUUUUCGAUAAAGAGGUACUCCAGAGUACAUUUCAACAAAAUAAGUAUUAUAUUUUUUUUCAGGAUGUAAAAAAAGUAUUUUCUUUCAUUUCAACAAAUUUUUUUUUUCUUUUCAUGAUAUAGAAAAAGUAUUUUCUUUCAUUUCAACAAAAUGAGUAUUUUCUUUUCAUAUUAUAGAAAGAGUACUUUCUUUUUCAACUAAAAAACUAGUAUUUCCUUUUUAGUUAUGGAACACAUAUUUCAAUAUUGAAUUUGUACAAUGUCAUAUAUUAUUAGUGAAUUUUUGAAUAUAAAUAGUAUCUUUAUAUUUAUAGUUUUGUUUUUGAAUUUAUUUAGCUUUAUAUUGGAUUUUAGACAUAUGAACAAAGUGAAACAUGCACAGAGUCAUGUAUUAUUAGUGAUAUUGCUUGAUGUGCAUUAAGCACAGUUUCUCCCUAAAAUAAAAACUAUCAUAUUUUGUGGAAGCGUAACUUAAAUUUACAAUAUGAUAGUCAAAUUUAAUUAACAAAUCUAAUGAAGAAGAGUAUAUGUUAUUUUAGUUAAGCUUGUCACUAAAUAAUCUGAGCAGAAGAAAAACUAUAAAUUAUACUUGAAAAAAAUAUUACACUUAUAUAAUAUGGGUUAACCCAUAUUCAACCCGCUCAUUUGACACCCGACCUGUUUUUGAUUCACAUGAAAUAUGGGCGGGUUGAGACCCAACUCAUUUUGCUAAACCCAUUUUAACCCACCUAAAUGUAUUUUUUUUCUUUUGGAUUCUUAUUUGAUGUCCUAUUCACUUUGAAUCUUGAGUAAUUUGAAUUGCAUCGUAUAAUAUAAAUUAAAAGGGGAGUGUUUCCGAUCAAAAAAUUUCAUUCGCAUGAUUCGAAUAUAAAUUUUUUAAUUAAUGGUAGAGAGAAUUUUAAAUGACAUACUAAAAGUGUUAUAUAAAUCUAGUAAUUUUAACAUGGCAUGUUAAUCUUAUAAGUAGGAGUCAUAAACGUAAACCGAGAACGUUAGAAUUAAAACAUACUAAAUACUUAAAAAGAGAAUAAUAGCAUGUUUGGCCAAAAUCAACUUAUUUUGAGAAGUGCUUUUCUCAAAAGUGUUUUUCUUAAAAAAGUAAUUUCGAUGAGAAAUAUUUUAUGUUUGGAUAUUUAAUUUGAAAAGUAUUUUUGAGUAACAAUUAAUGUUUAGCCAAAUUUUUAAAAAAUAAUUUUAAGUGUAUUUUUUCAAAAGUACUCUACUUUUUUUUGCUUUUUAAAAACGGAUUGUGGUUGGCCAAAACCUUAAUUUUAGAAAAAAAAAUAUUUUUUUUACCAAAAAAAUGUCUCAAAAGAAGCUUGGUACAGGCUAUAAAAUACCUAAAUUAAUUGAGGGUAUUGUGCGUUACUCUAUCUUGAAAAAUAAAUUCACCUGUGGAGAGAGAAAAUGUUCAUCUCCUAUGACGGAGUUGAUCACAAGGGAACGAGAAACCUGCAGGAAGAGCCAGCUAAUUCCGUUCUGGCAAUUCUUGUUCUUGAGAAAGCACACAAAAUUCAUGACACCUCAGCCUCGUGCCACGUGUUCUCCACCCUCUACUCAUUGGUCCACAUUUCACAUGAACUACUCCACGUUUCGCUUGCUAAUGAGAAACCUACGCCCACAUUAAAGUAACAACUCCUAUUUGCCUUUUAUGAAUAUUCUAAGCAAAUGACUUAUUCAUCCCUCACCCAACGCUUCUAAGAAGGACUGAAUAGGGACAAAGAUAUCUUUUGAGUUGGACCAAGUAUAACUAACAGAAAGUUGGUUUAAACUGACAACAAUGGUACUUAAUUUUUAUGCACAUGGGCCUUUGAUUUCACGGCCAAAGACAGAUGAAUUAAUCUCUACCGUCAAUACAGUAAUUGGAAUGCUUUAUUUAUAGUCAACAAACUUCUUCCAUAUACUCUAGCACCGUGGAUUAGUUUUCUUCCACUUCUUCCUUCUUUCCCUUCUCCGACCACAACAGAAAUUGAAACUCUUCGGUAACACCGUGAAUCUUAGCGGGCGUUUGGACAAAAGAAUUGUAAAAUUUCAAAGAAAGCGAAAAAUAAUUUCACCUGAAAAUGAUAUUUAAAAAUUAGAAUUGUGUUUGGAUAUGAAUAUAAUUUUGGAUUGUUUUUGAAGUUUUGUAAGUGAUCCGAAUAAAAAUUUUGAAAAAUAAUUUUUGAAAUUUUUUAAAUUUUUAAAUUUUUUUAAAAUUCAUGUUCAAGUGAAAAUUGAAAAUUUCAUGGCCAAACACUGAUUUCGAAAAAAAGUGAAAUUUUUUUCGAUAAAAAGUGAAAAAAUUCUUAUGUCCAAACGGGCUUUACAUAGAAUUGUAAAAUUUCGGAAAAAGUGAAAAAAUAUUUCAAGUGAAAAUAAUAUUUAAAAAUUAGAGUUGUGUUUGAAUAUAAACAUAAAUUUGGAUUGUUUUAAAUUUUUUGUUGAGGGUAAGGCCUAUAAAAGAGGAUUCAAAGCUGAGAUUUUAAUUAGGAGUGAAUGAAUUGUAUCCCUCCAAUUAUAAUCCUCGAUGGUAACAUUUUAAGGCGAUGUAUUAUUCCGCUUUUAUUAGAUUUAAUACCACUUAUUUAGUUUUCAUUUUAGUUUUUGUCUUUUAUUUUUUUUAGAAAAGGGCCAAAAAUACCUAUCAACUAUGGAAAAUAGAGCAAAUUUACUCAUAUUUUGAAUUUGGUUCCAAAUAUGCUCUUAUCAUUAAUGAGUUCAAAUUUACCGCUCAACUAUGAGAAAUAGAAUAAUUUUUUUCUCCUUUUGACUUUAGUCCCGAAUAUGCACUUAUCGUGAGUGGACAGACUCAUAUUUGCCCUUCAAGACUAACGAAAUUAAUUUUUUUGUCAAUACUUUUAUUUUAGGAUUAAAAAUUUAUUUGACUAUUAUUUCUAAAACAACAAGAGGAGGAACCAAAAAAAAAAAAAGAUAAUAAAAGAAAAGAAAAGGGACAUGUAAAUUUAAAAAAAAAAUCACAUCAAAACAAAGAUUCAUAAAUGUAUUUAUCUUACUUUAAGGAUAACUAAUAAUUCUUAUCUCUUUCAAUUUCUGUUUACAGACCAUCAAUAUUUUUUUUGUCUAUGUAAUUGCAAUUAUAUGCAUAAAUUUAGCUCAAAAAAAUAAACCUAAUAUUUUAUGGAUUUGUUACUAUCCAAGCUCAUGGCACGUAUUAUCCGCUUUGUGCCUAGGCCCGCACAGAUUUAUCUUUCGAGCUACGUUUGUCACGACCCAAUCCCAUGACAUGUAUUGUCCGUAUUAGGCCUAGUUCCGUACAGAUUUGUCUUUAUGCCACCUCGAGUCCUGAAAGCGCGUAUACCAUGCGAACUUGUGUCAUGCCUUAUAAUGUUCUUCACUUUCCUCUCUCAUUCCGAUGUGGGAUUCGCCUAAGGUGACAUGUACACUCAUUUUUCAGAAAUUUGCCAGCCUAGAAAUCUGCCAGUCCUGUUGUACCCGCCCUCAUCGGCCCGCCCUCCGUCAUGGGCAUCACAAGAUUUUAUUCUUUCUCGCAUGGCAACAAGUGCAAUUUCUCUUUUUACUUUCAAAUAUUUCUCACUAAUUUAAGAAUUUCAUUUUACAUUUGAGUUUUUGAAGAUUGUUUAUUGUUCCAUGAAAAAAUAUUUAAUUUUCUAAAAUUGGUGAUAUGAUUAAUUGUUGUUACAUUUCAGGAGAGUAAAAAAUUUUAAAUAGGAGAAAUACGUGAAGAUGAUGACCAAUUGGAUUUACGUAUGCAAGAUCUUUUAACAAUCUUUGAUAUGUAUAAUUUUCUAGUUAAAUAUUUUUACAAGAAAUUUUCUAGGGUUAAGAUUAUUAUCUUACAAUGUGGUAAUCCAUUUUUAUAAUAACAUUUAUUUAAAUGGGUAAAAAUAAGAAUUUAGAAAUUCAAUAGCUUCGAAGGAAAAAUAUGAGUCAGUUUAUUUGCGAUAAGGGUAUAUUUGAGAUCACAGUCAACCAAAGAGUAUAUUUAUUAUUUUCCAUAUUUGAGUAAUAAAUCUUUCAAUCUACUAAAGAUAAGGUCAUGUGUGAGACUAAAUUAAAAAAUAAGGGCAAAUGUGUUCUAUUUCUCAUAGUUGAGGGGCAUUGUUAGGUUUUUUUUUUCCUGAUUAUAAUCGCUGGAAACAAAUACAUUAAAUUUUUAUGAUGUAAAUGAUAAUUUUAUCAUAAUAUUAAUUGUACUUUUAGAAUGCAAUACUUUCUUUUAUUAUAGUUUUAAUUGAAUAACUAUUAAACUAUCUCAUUUAGAGAUGUUACAAUCCAAACAAAGAAGUCCCACGUGAAAUUCAAACGGAUCAAAAUCAAAUUGAAAUAAUUUUUUUCCCCAACAAAUCGAAGUAAAUAAGUUCAAUGUCGUAGACCUAUGUUUAGAAAGGAAUCGAGAAAAAGCUCCAACCAUCCUAAGCAAAAUUUUGAAAAAAAAUACACAUCCCUAGUCAUUGUGUAUAUCGCAAUAGGGGUAUUACUGGGAAAGCACGUGCCCUUGACUGCUCAAAACGGGCGUUUGAAGGACGGCUGGCGUUUGGUUGAACCAACCUAACAACUACCACUUUCCUUCACACUUCUUAAGCUUUUACCAUUAAACUAAUUAAAAAAAGGCAGCCUUAUUAUUCGUUUAAUAUUAUUAUUAUAUUAUAUUAUUAUUAGUUUCCAUCUUUAGAUAAAAUAAUAAUUUCAAAAGAAAAAAUAAAAAGCAAACGAAUUUCCAGCUUUUGCCCUAUAUAUAUAUAAAACUAUAAAUGAUCCUUUCUCUUUUUCCGUUAUCUAAAAGCCAAUACUUCUGGAUUUCCCCAUCUACUGUUCCCCUCUCACCCUCUCUAUCUCUAAUUCCCUCUUCCUCUCUAUCUACUUGCCGGAAAACCUCUUCCACUCGCCGGGAAACCGCUUUUUUGUUUGCCGGUGAACAGAGUCGCCGGAGAAUUCACACGCACUCACUCUACAUGUUUCGUUCGCUUUGAUUAGUGCUUCUCGUUUUUGCGUGUAACUGAGUCACUAGGUUGGUGGAAUCGCUCUGAUCUCUGAGUUUGACUCGUUCCAUGCAGUGCUAAGGGAAUGUGGCGAGUCUAAGGCUGUUUUUCUGGUUCCUUGUGCCCUAGAUCCUGAUCUAGGGCUUGACUGACGCUUGUAUUGUUGUUUGUUAGUAGUUUUUUUGGUUUUAUUUUUGUCUGUGAAGAGUGGAAAGACGACGAAGAGUAGAGAAAAGCUUCGUAAUGAGAUGGUAUGUUAUUAUCAGUUGGAUGUAUUAUGUGAUUCUUUGUAAAGUUUUGAGUUGUGAAUGUUAUUCUUUUUGUUCCUUUGGAAGUUUGGAUCUCUGAAGCAUUCUUAGGAUUUUAGUGAAAAUUGAAGGGUUUUUCCUUCUUUUUUUUUUUGCAUUAUCUUUUCCCAGCGAUUUCAUAUGCUUAUUCUGAACUAAUUGCACAUAUUGAUAUGAAC